UACGUAGGGUGCAAGCGUUGUCCGGAAUUAUUGGGCGUAAAGAGCUCGUAGGCGGUCUGUCGCGUCUGCUGUGAAAACCUAGGGCUUAACUCUGGGCGUGCAGUGGGUACGGCAGGCUGGAGGCAGGCAGGGGAGAACGGAAUUCCCGGUGUAGCGGUGAAAUGCGCAGAUAUCGGGAGGAACACCGGUGGCGAAGGCGGUUCUCUGG
rnacentral:rRNA from 1 species